GGACCCCCAAGGACCCCGGGGGGACCCCCAGGCUGAGCCCCCCCGGGCCGGAGCGGCGCCCGCAGAGACCCUCGGCCACCCGGGUGUGACGUCAGCUGCGCCCCCAAAUCCGGGCAAUAAAAGAGAAAUUUUGGUGGUUUUGGA